CCUACGGGCGGCUGCAGUGGGGAAUAUUGGACAAUGGAGGCAACUCUGACCCAGCCACGCCGCGUGAAUGAUGAAGGUCUUCGGAUUGUAAAGUUCUGUGAUGGGGGAUGAACACAAUGACGGUACCCCAAUAGCAAGCCACGGCUAACUACGGGCCAGCAGCCGCGGUAAUACGUAGGGGGCAAGCGUUAUCCGGAAUGACUGGGCGUAAGGGGCGCGUAGGUGGUUUAGUAAGUUGGCGGUGAAAUUCCGGGGCUCAACCUCGGCGCUACCGCCAAGACUAUUAGACUAGAGUGCUGGAGAGGUAAGUGGAAUUCCUAGUGUAGCGGUGGAAUGCGUAGAUAUGAGGAGGAACAUCAGGGGCGAAGGCGACUUACUGGACUGUAACUGACACUGAGGUACGAAAGCGUGGGGAACAAACAGGAUUAGAUACCCCAGUAGUC
rnacentral:rRNA from 1 species